GCCUGGGUGGCUCAGUUGGUUGGGCAUCUGACUUCGGCUCAGGUCAUGAUCUCGUGGUCCGUGAGUUUGAGCCCCGCAUCAGGCU
rnacentral:tRNA from 1 species